rfam:Echinops telfairi cont1.330091, whole genome shotgun sequence.
GGCGGGGCCGAGGGGGCUGAGCUAGGGGGGGAGGGGCGGCAUGGGUCACGUGACGCGGCUCUACUGUUUACACGCGGAUCUGCCCGGCGCUCGCCGUUUCGCCUCAGUCAGGCGCUCGGCUCCGUUUCGGUU